rnacentral:rRNA from 1 species
CCUACGGGAGGCAGCAGUGGGGAAUAUUGCACAAUGGGGGAAACCCUGAUGCAGCGACGCCGCGUGAAGGAAGAAGUAUUUCGGUAUGUAAACUUCUAUCAGCAGGGAAGAAAAUGACGGUAACUGACUAAGAAGCCCCGGCUAAAUACUUGCCAGCAGCCGCGGUAAGACGUAGGGGGCAAGCGUUAUCCGGUUUUACUGUGUGGAAAGGGAGCGUAGGCGGUUUAGCAAGUCUGAAGGGAAAGCCCGGGGGUCAACCCCGGGACUGCUUUUGAAACUGUUGAACUAGAUUGCAGGAGUGGUAAGUGGAAUUCCUAGUGUAGCGGUGAAAUGCGUAGAUAUUAGGAGGAACACCAGUGGCGAAGGCGGCUUACUGGACUGUAAAUGACGCUGAGGCUCGAAAGCGUGGGGAGCAAACAGGAUUAGAUACCCUAGUAGUC